AAAGUCGUAACAAGGUUUCCGUAGGUGAACCUGCGGAAGGAUCAUUAACACGUUUUCCGAACGUUUUCGAUCAUUCUUAUUUUCCGUGCACAAACAAAACCGGCCUCCUGACCUUUCCUUGUGAUCGUGCCAGGCGUCUUUUAGGGUUCAUAGAAGUCUUUGUUCUGGAAAAUUGGUUGGUAACAACCUUUCUAGUACGAACAUCGACAUCUCCUUUCAGGCGUUGCCAAACAACCCAAACCUUAAAUCUAAUUGCUCUGAACUCUAGUUGUGGUGGCAUAUCUUCGGAUAAUUGUCACCCAACGACCAAAAACAAACAACAACUCUUAACAACGGAUAUCUUGGUUCUC
rnacentral:misc_RNA from 1 species